rnacentral:tRNA from 1 species
GGAGUUGUGGCUCAGUGGUAGAGUGCUUGCUUCGCAAGUGUACUGGCUUUGAUCCUCAGCUCCA